rnacentral:rRNA from 1 species
UACGGAGGGUGCGAGCGUUGUCCGGAAUCAUUGGGCGUAAAGGGCGCGUAGGUGGCCCGGUCAGUUCGUGGUGAAAGCGCGGGGCUCAACCCUGCGUCGGCCAUGAAUACUGCCGCGGCUGGAGCACUGUAGAGGCAGGCGGAAUUCCGGGUGUAGCGGUGGAAUGCGUAGAGAUCCGGAAGAACACCGGUGGCGAAGGCGGCCUGCUGGGCAGUUGCUGGACACUGAGGCGCGACACGUGGGGAGCAAACAGG